GGCAAAAUGAUACAUACAAACACGCCCUUGAGUCUGUAAUAAAUGAAUAAAUAAUUUAUUUUAAAAAAAAUGAAUAAAUUAAUAUUGUUCAGGCGGACGGUCGGCGGCGGCGAUGGAUGGAUUACCUGAUGUUCACUAUUAUAAUCAAGACUCAAUGGAGUUCCACAACAAAGAAAAAUGGAAGAGCACAGAAUACGGAUAUCCAGUGAAUGGCUUCAAGGUCUAUCCAAGGGUUCAAGUCACGAACUGGAGUUGUUCUCUCUCCAUGGCCUGAAAAUUGUGCAGGCGCAUCGGGGUUUUAUACGCUGUAAUUUCGUGGUCUCCAAUCGCAUAUCUGUUAGUUUUAUUUUUCUUUAACUUAAUUAAUCUUCUUCUUGUUUGUUCCGUUUGUGGAGGUUGUGAUGUUUGAUUUUUUACAUGAUUUAUAGGAUGGACAUGGGAAUUGGCAUGUGGGCGCUAUGGCUACUUUGAUUGAUGAUGUUGGUGCAGCUGCUAUAUUGUCUUUGACUGGCCACAUUAAAGGAUCACUUGAUUUCAACAUUUCUUUUUAUUUCCCAGCUAAGAUUCAAGUACACUUUCUUAUCUUCAACUCUUUUUCUAGGUUUUGGCUUUUUCUUCCCCAAUUAAUUUGGGAUUAUUUAGUUGUUGUUUGGGUUUUUCUUGGAUUUGUUAAUUUGUUGAGGAAAUUUAAUAUAUAGAACUCAUAAUUGUUUUGAAAUUAGACCUUUUUAAUGUAUAGAACUCAUAAUCAAGCUUAUUUUCAUCUGCUACAAAAGUAGCCUUGUACUGUGAAGCCAAAUGAUAGAUUAGAGCAAGCAAAAAUUAUGUAAUUCCUAUCAUUUCUUCCUUUUUUAGCAUUUUUUUUUCUUCUCAUGUUAAGAAAAUAUCCAGGAAGAAGUGGAGAUAGAGGCAAAGGUUGUAGGAGAGAAGGGAAGGCUAGUGUCAGUGGUGGUAGAAGUAAGGAAGAAGGAUAAUGGAGAAUUAAUUGCUUUAGCUAAGCAAUGGAUGUCCGUCCCCAGUAUUGCCAGUAAGAUUUGAGCUAAGACCAGUUAUACUUGAUAUUUUUUCAUGUUCUUUUAGAUUAUAGAGAAGAAAACCAAAUUCAGGCAUCAUGAUUUUGUAAUGCUCUGCAUUUCACAAAAUCAGCACACAAGAGGGAUCAUGGUUUUGUAAUAUAGUGAAGAGAAAAUCCCACUUCCAAUUUGUGGUUUGCUUCAAAUAUUUGCUCUUUAUGCUGUAAUCUUUUCGCUCUACCAUGGUCGUCUGUCAAAGGUU
rnacentral:misc_RNA from 1 species